rnacentral:rRNA from 1 species
CAGGGAUUGCCCUAGUAACGGCGAGUGAAGCGGCAACAGCUCAAAUUUGAAAUCUGGCUUCGGCCCGAGUUGUAAUUUGCAGAGGAUGUUUCUGGCGCGGUGCCUUCCGAGUUCCCUGGAACGGGACGCCACAGAGGGUGAGAGCCCCGUAUGGUUGGACACCAAGCCUGUGUGAAACUCCUUCGACGAGUCGAGUAGUUUGGGAAUGCUGCUCAAAAUGGGAGGUAAAUCUCUUCUAAAGCUAAAUACCGGCCAGAGACCGAUAGCGCACAAGUAGAGUGAUCGAAAGAUGAAAAGCACCUUGAAAAGGGGGUUAAACAGUACGUGAAAUUGUUGAAAGGGAAGCACUUGUGACCAGACUUGUGCCGGGCGGUUCAUCCGGGGUUCUCCCCGGUGCACUCCGCCCGGUAUAGGCCAGCAUCGGUUCUUUCUGGGGGAUAAGAACGGUGGGAACGUGGCCCUCCCUCGGGAGGGUGUUAUAGCCCGCCGUACGAUACCCUGGAGGGGACCGAGGUUCGCGCUCCGCAAGGAUGCUGGCGUAAUGGUCAUCAGUGACCCGUCUUGAAACACGGACCAAGGAGUCGUCCAUUAGAGCGAGCGUUUGGGUGUCAAACCCGCACGCGUAAUGAAAGUGAAAUUAGGUGAGAGCUUCGGCGCAUCAUCGACCGAUCCUGAUGUUCUCGGAUGGAUUUGAGUAAGAGUUUUAACGGACGGACCCGAAAGACAGUGAACUAUGCUUGUAUAGGGUGAAGCCAGAGGAAACUCUGGUGGAGGCUCGCAGCGGUUCUGACGUGCAAAUCGAUCGUCAAAUAUGAGCAUGGGGGCGAAAGACUAAUCGAA